rnacentral:rRNA from 1 species
GACAGAGGUGCCGAGCGUUAGGCGGAAUCACUGGGCUUAAAGCGUGUGUAGGCGGACUUCUAAGUACCUUGUGAAAUCCCACGGCUCAACCGUGGAACUGCUUGGUAUACUGGUCGUCUUGAGCCACCUAGGGGCAACCGGAACAAACGGUGGAGCGGUGAAAUGCGUAGAUAUCGGAAGGAACAUCAGUGGCGAAGGCGGCUUCCUGGACACAGACUGACACUGAGGCACGAAAGCGUGGGUAGCAAACAGG